rnacentral:rRNA from 1 species
CAGUAGCCGCGGUAAUACGUAGGUGGCAAGCGUUGUCCGGAAUUAUUGGGCGUAAAGGGCUCGCAGGCGGUUUCUUAAGUCUGAUGUGAAAGCCCCCGGCUCAACCGGGGAGGGUCAUCGGAAACUGGGAAACUUGAGUGCAGAAGAGGAGAGUGGAAUUCCACGUGUAGCGGUGAAAUGCGUAGAGAUGUGGAGGAACACCAGUGGCGAAGGCGACUCUCUGGUCUGUAACUGACGCUGAGGAGCGAAAGCGUGGGGAGCGAACAGGAUUAGAGACCCCAGUAGUCCCUGUCUCUUAUAC